AUCAUUCCAGACUCUACUUCUAUUGAGAGACAUAUAAAAGGCUGGUUGAAUGAGUUGCCUAUAAAAGCUACUUCAUCUACAAGAGAACAGGCGACUGCACCAGCGACUGUAAGAAGUUAUGUGAUUUCCUCAUAUGAACGUGAAAGGGUCAGUGGUCUAAAAUGAGUCUCUCUGGG